GGCUCAGAACGAACGCUGGCGACGCGUCUUAAGCAUGCAAGUCGAACGGCAGCACGGGGCAACCUGGUGGCGAGUGGCGAACGGGUGAGUAACACGUAGGUGAACUGCCCUUGGGCUGGGGAUAGCCUGUGGAAACACAGGGUAAUACCGAAUGAGGUCAUCGGACUAUGGUUUGAUGAUGAAAGGGGCUAAGGCCUCGCCUGAGGAUGUGCCUGCGGCUGAUUAGCUAGUUGGUGGGGUAAAGGCCUACCAAGGCGACGAUCAGUAGCCGGCCCGAGAGGGUGGACGGCCACACUGGGACUGAGAUACGGCCCAGACUCCUACGGGAGGCAGCAGCUAAGAAUCUUCCGCAAUGGACGAAAGUCUGACGGAGCGACGUCGCGUGGGUGAUGAAGGCGGAAACGUUGUAAAGCCCUUUUAUGGACGAGGAAUAAGCUUUGGAGGGAAUGCCAGAGUGAUGACGGUAGUCCAUGAAUAAGCCUCGGCUAAUUACGUGCCAGCAGCCGCGGUAACACGUAUGGGGCGAGCGUUGUUCGGAAUUAUUGGGCGUAAAGGGUAUGCAGGCGGCCAAGUAAGUCUGGUGUGUAAUCCCGCAGCUUAACUGCGGAGCCGCACUGGAAACUGCAUGGCUAGAGUACAGGAAGGGGAGUUGGAAUUCCAGGUGUAGGGGUGAAAUCUGUAGAUAUCUGGAAGAACAUCAGUGGCGAAGGCGAACUCCUGGCCAUGUACUGACGCUGAGAUACGAAAGCGUGGGGAGCAAACAGGAUUAGAUACCCUGGUAGUCCACGCUGUAAACGAUGUGCACUAGGUGUUGGGGUCUUCGAUCUCAGUGCCGUAGCUAACGCGUUAAGUGCACCGCCUGGGGAGUAU
rnacentral:rRNA from 1 species